UUAAGAACCAUUGUUAUGCUCUGAAAGUACAAACCCAUUGAGCACAGUACAAUCAAACUUAAAUGGCCCACUUUACCUGAAUUCACCCUAUCAAGUGUGCGCAUCACCAAGCACAA